AGCGUAAAGAGCUAUGUGACCCCUCCUGGAUGGGGCUUCGGUUGGACCUCUGAUUGGGCUCCCCAUAGACUUUGACCCAAGCAUCCUCGUGACAGGGUUUGUCGGAACCGCCAUCGCUUUAGGGUGCUUCUCCGGCGCCGCCAUCAUCACCAAGCGCAGGGAGUACCUGUACCUCGGUGGCCUGACCUCUUCUGGCAUGUCGAUCCUUCGACAUGAAACUCUCAAGAACGCAGGUGACAAGAAGAGGAAGAGGAUGUCCUGAACGUUUCUCCCGCACAUCGUAGAUACCACCAUCGUGGCCUUGUAGGAAUUAAGCUGGCGAUGUGCCACCCUUGUGUAUCUGUUUUUGAUUGUAUGUGGAAGUUGG